rnacentral:rRNA from 1 species
GACAGAGGGGGCAAGCGUUGCUCGGAAUUACUGGGCGUAAAGGGCGCGUAGGCGGGAUGGCAAGUCGGUCGUGAAAUACCUCGGCUCAACUGAGGAGCGUCGAUCGAAACUGCCGUUCUUGAGGGUUGCAGAGGAGACUGGAAUUCCCGGUGUAGCGGUGAAAUGUGUAGAGAUCGGGAGGAACACCGGUGGCGAAGGCGGCGACCUGGGUAGAUACUGACGCUGAGGUGCGAAAGCGUGGGGAGCAAACAGG